CAGUUGAUGUCUAAUCUCUGAAACACAAGCAUUUGUGAACAGAAAUGUUCUCUGAGUGAGCCACUCAGUUUCUGCUGUAGCACAGAGAAAAGGAAACGCGAGCCUCUGUCUCGCAGAUAGCACUGUGGGAGCUGCGACUGCCUCCAAAGAGCCAGAUCAGACUAAACUCUGAUGGAGGAAUCCAAGUGCGACCAAACCACAUAAGAAUUUAAAGGGCUGUGCUGUUCAGCUGGGGCUGCUCAAUGGCUGAUACCUGAACACUUCUGUGGGGCACCCUGGAGGAACCAAGGGAUGGAGAGAUGGAGCAGCAACUCUUUCAGCAAUCAGCCUUUGUAAGCAAUGAGCCUUUUGCAUCGUGAUUCUUUGAGGGUGAUUCAUCGUGAUUCUCCAAGAGAAGAUUAAGGUUUCCUCACAGGUGAGGGAGGAGAUGAGAGGAUGAAGGAUUAGAAACAAGGCACUGUGAUAAAGGUAAAUGUGAUGAAGUGAAAUUGUUUUUUCACUCAGGCAAGAUGCAAUGGCUACCUUUGUCAUCAACCUUGAUUGUACAUUGCUGAGGCCUCAACCCCAGCAAUGCUAAGUGGACAGCUUAUGC
rnacentral:lncRNA from 1 species